rnacentral:rRNA from 1 species
GAUGAACGCUGGCGGUAUGCCUAACACAUGCAAGUCGUACGAGAGUUUUUAACUCUAGUGGCGGACGGGUGAGUAACACGUGAGAAUUUGCCUUUAGGAGGGGGAUAACAAUUGGAAACGAAUGCUAAUACCCCAUAUGCUUUUGAGUGAAAUGGAUUUUAUCCGCCUAGAGAGAAGCUCGCGGCUGAUUAGCUUGUUGGUAAGGUAAGAGCUUACCAAGGCGACGAUCAGUAUCUGGUUUGAGAGGACGAUCAGACACACUGGAACUGAGACACGGUCCAGACUCCUACGGGAGGGCAGCAGUGGGGAAUUUUCCGCAAUGGGCGAAAGCCUGACGGAGCAAUACCGCGUGAGGGAAGAAUGCCUAUGGGUUGUAAACCUCUUUUUUCAGGGAGGAAUAAAAUGACGUGUACCUGAAGAAUAAGCAUCGGCUAACUCCGUG